UUUACCGUGAAAAAAUUAGAGUGUUCAAAGCGGGCAGAUAUUUUUCCUGCCACCGAAUACAUUAGCAUGGGAUAAUGGAAUAGGACCCUGACCUCCUAUUUUCAGUUGGUUUUGUUUACAGCGAGGUUAUAUCAGGGUAAUGAUUAAUAGGGAUAGUUGGGGGCAUUAAUAUUUAAUUGUCAGAGGUGAAAUUCUUGGAUUUAUGAAAGAUUAACUUCUGCGAAAGCGUUUGCCAAGGAUGUUUUCAUUAAUCAAGAACGAAAGUUAGGGGAUCGAAGACGAUCAGAUACCGUCGUAGUCUUAACCAUAAACGAUGCCGACCAGCGAUUAGGAGACGUUGAAUACAAAACACCGCUGUUAAUCCUUUCGGGGGUUAAUAGUUGGUGAAUGACUCCCCUAG
rnacentral:rRNA from 1 species